CACCAGGUAGAAGCGGUUGGUCUUCUUAGCUUUAGCACGGAAGGUUUUUUUCCUUCAUCUUGUCGCGUCACCGAUUACCUUCGACCAUAUAUAUAUAUAUAUAAAUGCAUUUAUGGAACUAUACAUAAAAUUGAAAUAAAAUAACAAACGAAAUAUGGAGCUCGAGGAUAGGCGUGGUCGUUGAGGUACCUACGCGUGGCUACUUAUCUAGGAAAAAAGAAGCAGAACUAGGAGCAGAACUACGAACAGAACUAGAAAUUGCAAUAUCGAAAAGGAGGUGAGUCGGGAGGGGUAGGGAGGCGUUGGCGGUGGUGGUGGCGGUGGUGGUGGCGGCGUUGGCGGCGUUGGCGUUGGCGUCGGUUCCAGAGGCAAAAGCCUUCUCGGCGGCCGGUAUUUCCGCGCGACGCGUGUCCGAGCUCGCACGAUCCUCGUCGUGGUUAGCACAGCGUGCGUUCUCCGAUUAUCGUGCUCGCAGCUUCGUGCUCGCAGCUUCGCGCUCGCGACAGAGGUCAAGGAGAGAAUAUUUUGGCGGCAGACCGCACCGGUGCAUAGUGCGCGCGCGCGCGCGCGCACCCCAGUGUCAGUUGGCAGACUAGAUAGGCAAAGGAAAAUAAAAAGUCUCGAUGACCGACGCUCCCGUUAUCUCGGUGGAUGUCAAAGGGCAACGUACGACCUGACUAGAGCUGUGCCAGGGCCGUGCCAGGGCCUUUGUGCCAGGGCCGUCGUGCCAGGGCCGAAGCUGGGCUCGCCUCGCGCUGGCGCGCGUCUCCUCCUUCGAGCGACGUCGCGACGUCCUCCUCGUCAUCGCCAUCGCCAUCGCCAUCGCCAUCGCCAUCGCCGUCGCCUCCGCCACUACCACCACCAUCACCACCACCACCACCACCACCACCACCAACAACAACAACAUCAUCAUGGAUUGGCAUAGGAAGCUCGGACCGAUCUUUCUCUUAUUGCUUUUUGCUUUCGGCACCGAGGAAGUAGAGGCGCUCAGGAUGCUGGAACUUGUUAUACCGCAAUACGUGGUACGGGGACAGAACAUACGUCUCGAGUGUAGCUUUAACCUGGACGGUGAGAUACUCUAUUCGGUUAAGUGGUACAAAGAUGGCAACGAAUUUUAUCGAUACGUACCUAGGGAUAUGCCACCUGUAUUGGUUUUCUCACUUCCCGGCGUUUCCGUCGACAUACAUAACUCUACCGAACGAUCGGUCGUUCUUUAUUCCGUUAAUCUAAUGAGUUCUGGGAGAUAUAGGUGCGAAGUCUCGGCGGAAGCACCUUCCUUUCAAACUGUAUCCGAUCAUUCGGAUAUGAUGGUAGUCGCUCUGCCCGAAAAUGGCCCCGUUAUCACGGGUAGACCUGGCAGACGUCGCUAUCAAGUAUCGGACGUCGUGCGAUUCAACUGUACGUCGGCUAAAUCGAAACCAGCCGCCAUGCUCAGUUGGUUCAUAAAUGGCGAGCCCGUCGAUCCACAAUACCUAAGAGGACCUCAUAUCACGGAGGUAGACCGCGAGGGUCUAGAGACUGCCGUACUUGGUCUGGAGUUUCGUUUGCGUACGAAGCACUUCAAGAAGGGUGACAUGAAGAUCAAAUGCCUGGCGACGAUAGCGACUGUAUAUUGGAAAUCGAACGAGCUCAGUAUAGAGGGUGAAAGGCCCUUAAAGAUGCCGGUAAUGGAGAGUAGGGAGACAAGAGCGCAAGGCCAUACACACGCCGAACACAUUUUAGCCAGUGCAAAUAUCAAAUCCGUAGGAUCGUCCCUGUCGCUGCUAACCCUAGGAUUGCUUAUACUCCGGACCCAAUACAGGACCUCUUCCUGCUUCGUCUACUCCCAAUUGGCACGGUUCCUCGCGACAAGCAUUUGGAAUCUACAAAAUAAUACUGAACGAUUAUUUGGAACCGUUUGGACACUGGCUAAAGGACCUGAAACUCUUGUCAAAUUAUUGGCCUUACCUCGGAAAAAUAAAUGUCAUUAUUACUAUGGUCGAUCUUUUCAAAGUAAGACGUCAAUUCCGUUCUGUUUUUUAUUAUUACGUUUGCCUCUUUACUCGAUUUAUCCAUUUCUUCUUCAGCGUUCAUCUCUGUUAUAUUAUCGAUUUGAAAACUCAUAACUUUUGUUGAUCUAACCUCAAAAACAAAUCAAAAGACGUUCGGAGAAACCGCCAAAGUUUUAACGGUACAUGCAGCGGCGGUGCCUAGCGGCGGACCCCAGCGGCGGACCCCAGCGGCGGACCCUAGCGGCGACCAUUGAAGCAAUUAACCAAUGAAGCAUUGGUCGGUGCAUUGGUCGGUGCAUUAGUUGGUGCAUUAGUCGAUGCAUUAAUCGGUCCUUUACAUUUCGCCUCUAUCUUCUAUUCUCUUCUAUCUCUGUUUUCAAAUAAAGCGGCAAUGAGAAAUUAAUUGAACGAAAUAUACUACAUCAAAUAAUUUCUUGAUAACAUAUAAUAACAAA
rnacentral:misc_RNA from 1 species